AACGAACGCUGGCGGCAGGCUUAACACAUGCAAGUCGAGCGCCCCGCAAGGGGAGCGGCAGACGGGUGAGUAACGCGUGGGAAUCUACCCAUCUCUACGGAAUAACGCAUGGAAACGUGUGCUAAUACCGUAUACGUCCUUCGGGAGAAAGAUUUAUCGGAGAUGGAUGAGCCCGCGUUGGAUUAGCUGGUUGGUGGGGUAAAGGCCUACCAAGGCGACGAUCCAUAGCUGGUCUGAGAGGAUGAUCAGCCACACUGGGACUGAGACACGGCCCAGGCUCCUACGGGAGGCAGCAGUGGGGAAUAUUGGACAAUGGGCGCAAGCCUGAUCCAGCCAUGCCGCGUGAGUGAUGAAGGCCCUAGGGUUGUAAAGCUCUUUCACCGGUGAAGAUAAUGACGGUAACCGGAGAAGAAGCCCCGGCUAACUUCGUGCCAGCCGCCGCAGUAAGAC
rnacentral:rRNA from 1 species